AGUGAACGCUGGCGGUAGGCCUAACACAUGCAAGUCGAACGGCAGCACAGUAAGAGCUUGCUCUUACGGGUGGCGAGUGGCGGACGGGUGAGGAAUACAUCGGAAUCUACUUUUUCGUGGGGGAUAACGUAGGGAAACUUACGCUAAUACCGCAUACGACCUACGGGUGAAAGCAGGGGAUCUUCGGACCUUGCGCGAUUGAAUGAGCCGAUGUCGGAUUAGCUAGUUGGCGGGGUAAAGGCCCACCAAGGCGACGAUCCGUAGCUGGUCUGAGAGGAUGAUCAGCCACACGGGAAGUGAGACACGGUCCAGACUCCUACGGGAGGAAGCAGUGGGGAAUAUUGGACAAUGGGCGCAAGCCUGAUCCAGCCAUACCGCGUGAGUGAAGAAGGCCUUCGGGUUGUAAAGCCAUUAUGUUGGGAAAGAAAAGCAGCAGGUUAAUACCCCGCUGUUCUGACGGUACCCAAAGAAUAAGCACCGGCUAACUUCGUG
rnacentral:rRNA from 1 species